AACGAACGCUGGCGGCAUGCCUAACACAUGCAAGUCGAACGAGACCUUCGGGUCUAGUGGCGCACGGGUGCGUAACGCGUGGGAACCUGCCCUUAGGUUCGGAAUAACUCCCCGAAAGGUGUGCUAAUACCGGAUAAUGUCUUCGGACCAAAGAUUUAUCGCCUUUGGAUGGGCCCGCGUUGGAUUAGCUAGUUGGUAGGGUAAAAGCCUACAAAGGCGACGAUCCAUAGCUGGUCUGAGAGGAUGAUCAGCCACACUGGGACUGAGACACGGCCCAGACUCCUACGGGAGGCAGCAGUGGGGAAUAUUGGACAAUGGGCGAAAGCCUGAUCCAGCAAUGCCGCGUGAGUGAUGAAGGCCUUAGGGUUGUAAAGCUCUUUUACCCGGGAUGAUAAUGACAGUACCGGGAGAAUAAGCUCCGGCUAACUCCGUG
rnacentral:rRNA from 1 species